rnacentral:rRNA from 1 species
GACAGAGGAUGCAAGCGUUAUCCGGAAUGAUUGGGCGUAAAGCGUCUGUAGGUGGCUUUUCAAGUCCGCCGUCAAAUCCCAGGGCUCAACCCUGGACAGGCGGUGGAAACUACCAAGCUCGAGUACGGUAGGGGCAGAGGGAAUUUCCGGUGGAGCGGUGAAAUGCGUAGAUAUUGGGAGGAACGCCGGUGGCGAAAGCGACUGUCUGGGGUGCUUGUGACGCUGAGGCGCGAAAGCCAGGGGAUCAAACGGG